rnacentral:rRNA from 1 species
UUAAAUUGAAGAGUUUGAUCAUGGCUCAGAUUGAACGCUGGCGGCAGGCCUAACACAUGCAAGUCGAACGGUAACAGGAAGCAGCUUGCUGCUUUGCUGACGAGUGGCGGACGGGUGAGUAAUGUCUGGGAAACUGCCUGAUGGAGGGGGAUAACUACUGGAAACGGUGGCUAAUACCGCAUAACGUCGCAAGACCAAAGAGGGGGACCUUCGGGCAUCUUGCCAUCAGAUGUGCCCAGAUGGGAUUAGCUAGUUGGUGAGGUAACGGCUCACCAAGGCGACGAUCCCUAGCUGGUCUGAGAGGAUGACCAGCCACACUGGAACUGAGACACGGUCCAGACUCCUACGGGAGGCAGCAGUGGGGAAUAUUGCACAAUGGGCGCAAGCCUGAUGCAGCCAUGCCGCGUGUAUGAAGAAGGCCUUCGGGUUGUAAAGUACUUUCAGCGGGGAGGAAGGUGUUGUGGUUAAUAACCACAGCAAUUGACGUUACCCGCAGAAGAAGCACCGGCUAACUCCGUGCCAGCAGCCGCGGUAAUACGGAGGGUGCAAGCGUUAAUCGGAAUUACUGGGCGUAAAGCGCACGCAGGCGGUCUGUCAAGUCGGAUGUGAAAUCCCCGGGCUCAACCUGGGAACUGCAUUCGAAACUGGCAGGCUUGAGUCUUGUAGAGGGGGGUAGAAUUCCAGGUGUAGCGGUGAAAUGCGUAGAGAUCUGGAGGAAUACCGGUGGCGAAGGCGGCCCCCUGGACAAAGACUGACGCUCAGGUGCGAAAGCGUGGGGAGCAAACAGGAUUAGAUACCCUGGUAGUCCACGCCGUAAACGAUGUCUACUUGGAGGUUGUGCCCUUGAGGCGUGGCUUCCGGAGCUAACGCGUUAAGUAGACCGCCUGGGGAGUACGGCCGCAAGGUUAAAACUCAAAUGAAUUGACGGGGGCCCGCACAAGCGGUGGAGCAUGUGGUUUAAUUCGAUGCAACGCGAAGAACCUUACCUGGUCUUGACAUCCACAGAACUUUCCAGAGAUGGAUUGGUGCCUUCGGGAACUGUGAGACAGGUGCUGCAUGGCUGUCGUCAGCUCGUGUUGUGAAAUGUUGGGUUAAGUCCCGCAACGAGCGCAACCCUUAUCCUUUGUUGCCAGCGGUUAGGCCGGGAACUCAAAGGAGACUGCCAGUGAUAAACUGGAGGAAGGUGGGGAUGACGUCAAGUCAUCAUGGCCCUUACGACCAGGGCUACACACGUGCUACAAUGGCGCAUACAAAGAGAAGCGACCUCGCGAGAGCAAGCGGACCUCAUAAAGUGCGUCGUAGUCCGGAUUGGAGUCUGCAACUCGACUCCAUGAAGUCGGAAUCGCUAGUAAUCGUGGAUCAGAAUGCCACGGUGAAUACGUUCCCGGGCCUUGUACACACCGCCCGUCACACCAUGGGAGUGGGUUGCAAAAGAAGUAGGUAGCUUAACCUUCGGGAGGGCGCUUACCACUUUGUGAUUCAUGACUGGGGUGAAGUCGUAACAAGGUAACCGUAGGGGAACCUGCGGUUGGAUCACCUCCUUACCUUAAAGAAGC